rnacentral:rRNA from 1 species
GUAGUCCCAGCUGUAAACGAUGCAGACUCGGUGAUGAAUUGGCUUCAUGCCAAUUCAGUGCCGCAGGGAAGCCGUUAAGUUUGCCGCCUGGGGAGUACGGUCGCAAGACUGAAACUUAAAGGAAUUGGCGGGGCCCGCACAAGCAGCGGAGCGUGUGGUUUAAUUCGACGCAACGCGCAGAACCUUACCCAGGUUUGACAUGCCCCUGCACGCCGCUGAAAGGCGGUCGCCUUCGAGGGUGGGGCACAGAUGCUGCACGGCUGUCGUCAGCUCGUGUCGUGAGAUGUUGGGUUAAG